GGGGGAUAUUGCGCAAUGGGGGCAACCCUGAUGCAGCAACGCCGCGUGAAGGAUGAAGGUUUUCGGAUUGUAAACUUCUUUUAUUAAGGACGAAAAUUGACGGUACUUAAUGAAUAAGCUCCGGCUAACUACGUGCCAGCAGCCGCGGUAAUACGUAGGGAGCAAGCGUUGUCCGGAUUUACUGGGUGUAAAGGGUGCGUAGGCGGCUUUGCAAGUCAGAUGUGAAAUCUAUGGGCUCAACCCAUAAACUGCAUUUGAAACUGUAGAGCUUGAGUGAAGUAGAGGCAGGCGGAAUUCCCCGUGUAGCGGUGAAAUGCGUAGAGAUGGGGAGGAACACCAGUGGCGAAGGCGGCCUGCUGGGCUUUAACUGACGCUGAGGCACGAAAGCGUGGGUAGCAAACAGGAUUAGAUACCCUGGUAGUCCACGCUGUAAACGAUGAUUACUAGGUGUGGGGGGUCUGACCCCUUCCGUGCCGGAGUUAACACAAUAAGUAAUCCACCUGGGGAGUACGGCCGCAAGGUUGAAACUCAAAGGAAUUGACGGGGGCCCGCACAAGCAGUGGAGUAUGUGGUUUAAUUCGAAGCAACGCGAAGAACCUUACCAGGUCUUGACAUCCAACUAACGAAGUAGAGAUACAUUAGGUGCCCUUCGGGGAAAGUUGAGACAGGUGGUGCAUGGUUGUCGUCAGCUCGUGUCGUGAGAUGUUGGGUUAAGUCCCGCAACGAGCGCAACCCUUGCUAUUAGUUGCUACGCAAGAGCACUCUAAUAGGACUGCCGUUGACAAAACGGAGGAAGGUGGGGACGACGUCAAAUCAUCAUGCCCCUUAUGACCUGGGCUACACACGUACUACAAUGGAUGUUAACAGAGGGAAGCAAGACAGUGAUGUGGAGCAAACCCCUAAAAACAUUCUCAGUUCAGAUUGCAGGCUGCAACCCGCCUGCAUGAAGAUGGAAUUGCUAGUAAUCGCAGAUCAGAAUGCCGCGGUGAAUACGUUCCCG
rnacentral:rRNA from 1 species